AUUGGGUUGGCCCAAAAGUUCAUUUGGGUUUUUCUGUACAAUAUUAUGGAAAAACUUGAAUGAACUUUUGGGCCAACCCA
rnacentral:miRNA from 1 species